UGGGGAAUCUUGCGCAAUGGGCGAAAGCCUGACGCAGCAACGCCGCGUGUGUGAUGAAGGUCUUCGGAUCGUAAAGCACUGUCGCGAGGGAAGAGAUGCGCGGGGAUAACACCUCCGCGCUAGGACGGUACCUCGAGAGGAAGCACCGGCUAACUCUGUGCCAGCAGCCGCGGUAAUACAGAGGGUGCGAGCGUUGUUCGGAAUCAUUGGGCGUAAAGCGCUUGUAGGCGGCUUGUUAAGUCGCGUGUGAAAUCCCUUGGCUCAACCAAGGAAGUGCGCGCGAAACUGGCGAGCUCGAGUGCCGGAGAGGGUCGCGGAAUUCCCGGUGUAGAGGUGAAAUUCGUAGAUAUCGGGAGGAACACCAGUGGCGAAGGCGGCGACCUGGACGGACACUGACGCUGAGACGCGAAAGCGUGGGGAGCAAACAG
rnacentral:rRNA from 1 species